rnacentral:rRNA from 1 species
ACGGGUGAGUAAUGUCUGGGGAUCUGCCCGAUAGAGGGGGAUAACCACUGGAAACGGUGGCUAAUACCGCAUAACGUCGCAAGACCAAAGAGGGGGACCUUCGGGCCUCUCACUAUCGGAUGAACCCAGAUGGGAUUAGCUAGUAGGCGGGGUAACGGCCCACCUAGGCGACGAUCCCUAGCUGGUCUGAGAGGAUGACCAGCCACACUGGAACUGAGACACGGUCCAGACUCCUACGGGAGGCAGCAGUGGGGAAUAUUGCACAAUGGGCGCAAGCCUGAUGCAGCCAUGCCGCGUGUAUGAAGAAGGCCUUCGGGUUGUAAAGUACUUUCAGCGGGGAGGAAGGCGAUGUGGUUAAUAACCGCGUCGAUUGACGUUACCCGCAGAAGAAGCACCGGCUAACUCCGUGUCAGCAGCCGCGGUAAUACGGAGGGUGCAAGCGUUAAUCGGAAUUACUGGGCGUAAAGCGCACGCAGGCGGUCUGUUAAGUCAGAUGUGAAAUCCCCGGGCUUAACCUGGGAACUGCAUUUGAAACUGGCAGGCUUGAGUCUCGUAGAGGGGGGUAGAAUUCCAGGUGUAGC